AUACGUAGGGGGCGAGCGUUGUCCGGAAUGAUUGGGCGUAAAGGGCGCGUAGGCGGCCCGGUAAGUCUGGAGUGAAAGUCCUGUUUUUAAGAUGGGAAUUGCUUUGGAUACUGUCGGGCUUGAGUGCAGGAGAGGUAAGUGGAAUUCCCAGUGUAGCGGUGAAAUGCGUAGAGAUUGGGAGGAGCACCAGUGGCGAAGGCGACUUACUGGACUGUAACUGACGCUGAGGCGCGAAAGUGUGGGGAGCAAACAGGAUUAGAUACCCUGGUAGUCCACACUGUAAACGAUGAAUGCUAGGUGUAGGGGGUAUCGACCCCUUCUGUGCCGCAGUCAACACAAUAAGCAUUCCGCCUGGGGAGUACGGCCGCAAGGUUGAAACUCAAAGGAAUUGACGGGG
rnacentral:rRNA from 1 species